GUGUUAGUUCAGUGUGAUUCCCCUCUAGGGAUAUUUGCAUUUUACAAGAGGAGUAUAGAGGAGGCAAAUUCUGGCUCGCCAUAUGGAAAAUUUUCCUAACGAUUAUAACUGCCCUCAAAAUGGAAUGGACUGUUUCAUAAAAUAAUGAUUCCCCUGCGACUGAGGGGCCUUAAGAGGAGGCAGAAGACCCCUCAUUAGGGAUGUAGAGACACUCCUAUUCAGUCUAGACGCACUUCAGUUUCCGCUGUCCCUUUGAAAGGAGAAGAUGGAGCCCCCUGUGGUCCCCCGGAGCCGGCCAGAUUUCCAGGAACAGAUGGUGGGAUCGCCCGGCGGCUCCAGCACCGCCAACCUGCCUCCCACCAAACCCGGCUGAGUGAAUUAUUAAAGAGGCAAUUUCCUUUCGGCUUUCCAGUAAAA